AUGGGAAAGAGGCCACCCUGGCCUGGGAAUGGGGCUCAUCUCUGUGCACAAGCAUAGAAGAGAUCAGGGGACUCUAGUGGAAGAAAGGCUCUGGACAGGUCCACCAGGAAAAGAUCCAAGUUCUGAAGCAGCUCUUCUGUCUUUUCUGAAAGAAAGGAGAAUGGCUUGGAAGUUCAUUGGCUCAGGAGUCAGAGGACCUCGGUUCGAACUCCACCCCUGAGGCUUACUGACUGCAUGACAUUUGGCAAUGUGAAAUAGUGGAUCGAACACUGGACAUGGAGGUCAGAAGACCUGGAUUCAAAUCCUACCUCAGACAUUAACUCCUUGUGUGAUGCUGAGAAAGUCACUUGGCCCACUCAGCCCCUAUAAAAUGAGGAGAGUAAUAACGUCUACCUCACUGAGUCCUUAGGAGACUCCAGUAAGAUAAUAUUUGAAAAGUGAUUGUAAAUCUUAAAGAAUGACACCAGAGAGAACAAUUUGAAGGCUAACUUUCCUUUACUUGCAUGUAUCUUGUAUGUUC